GAUGAACGCUGGCGGCGUGCCUAAUACAUGCAAGUCGAGCGAACGGACGAGAAGCUUGCUUUUCUGAUGUUAGCGGCGGACGGGUGAGUAACACGUGGAUAACCUACCUAUAAGACUGGGAUAACUUCGGGAAACCGGAGCUAAUACCGGAUAAUAUUUUGAACCGCAUGGUUCAAAAGUGAAAGACGGUCUUGCUGUCACUUAUAGAUGGAUCCGCGCUGCAUUAGCUAGUUGGUAAGUUAACGGCUUACCAAGGCAACGAUGCAUAGCCGACCUGAGAGGGUGAUCGGCCACACUGGAACUGAGACACGGUCCAGACUCCUACGGGAGGCAGCAGUAGGGAAUCUUCCGCAAUGGGCGAAAGCCUGACGGAGCAACGCCGCGUGAGUGAUGAAGGUCUUCGGAUCGUAAAACUCUGUUAUUAGGGAAGAACAUAUGUGUAAGUAACUGUGCACAUCUUGACGGUACCUAAUCAGAAAGCCACGGCUAACUACGUG
rnacentral:rRNA from 1 species